rnacentral:ncRNA from 2 species
GGUCAUGAGUGCCAGCGCCAAGCCCCGGCUCGCUGGUCGGCAACCCUCCUCCGCGGUGGGGUGCUCCGGGUGACGACCUGGCCGUGCGUCUGGACAACCGGCACGGCAAGAGCGGAUU